rnacentral:rRNA from 1 species
ACAUCCAAGGAAGGCAGCAGGCGCGUAAAUUACCCAAUCCUGACACAGGGAGGUAGUGACAAUAAAUAACAAUGCCGGGCCUUUGUAGGUCUGGCAAUUGGAAUGAGAACAAUUUAAACCCCUUAUCGAGUAUCAAUUGGAGGGCAAGUCUGGUGCCAGCAGCCGCGGUAAUUCCAGCUCCAAUAGCGUAUAUUAAAGUUGUUGCAGUUAAAAAGCUCGUAGUUGGAUUUGUGGCUGUCUCGAGCGGCCUAGCACCUAGUGUUAGUGCCUGCUUGGGUCGCCAUCCUUGGGUGGAGCCUGUGUGGCAUUAGGUUGUCGUGCAGGGGAUGCCCAUCGUUUACUGUGAGAAAAUUAGAGUGUUCAAAGCAGGCUUAUGCCGUUGAAUAUGUUAGCAUGGAAUAAUAAGAUAGGACCUCGGUACUAUUUUGUUGGUUUGCGCACGAGGUAAUGAUUAAUAGGGACAGU